UUUUUAAAUGAGACAAAAAACACAAACCUUAAAGGAAAAGGUUGAUAGGCCAGGCAUGGUGGCUCACACCUGUAAUCCCAGCACUUUGGGAGGCCAAAGUUGGCAGAUCACUUGAGGUCAGGAGUUCGAGACCAGCCUGGCCAACAUGAUGAAACCCCGUCUCUACUAAAAAUACAAAAGUUAGCCAGGUGUGGUGGUGCAUGCCUGUAAUCCCAGCUACUUGGGAGGUAGGACAAUCGCUUGAACUCAGGAGGCAGAGGUUGCAGUGAGCUGAGACCAUGCCACUGCACUCCAGCCUGAGUGGGACUCUGUCUCAAAGGAAAAAAAAAAAAAUGUUGAUAAAUGAACGAACAUUUCUGUCAAAUGAUGAUAUUACAAAACAGGGGAAAGGCAAGCCCCAAAUUAGAAGACAAACAACUGAUCAAGGAUGACUAGAAUACAUUGUUUCUACAAAUCAGUAAGAAAAUUGCAAAUAACUCAAUAGAAAAAUGGACAAACUAUUUGAACAAGCAAUAAACAAGUGACGGAAUGGUCACUAGCUAAUAAACCAGUGAAUGCAUAUUCAAUGAGAUAUGCACUGAUGAGAUACCUUUUCUUACUAAUAUCACAGUCUGGCAAAAGUCUGGCGACACCAAGUGCUGGCAAGGAACUCAGACAACUGGUGGUGGGAUAAAUUGGUAGAAUUACUGUUUAGAAAGCAAAAAAGUAGUUGUGAAAUAAUUGUAAAAGUCAAAAAGCAACCCCAUGGCCCAGCAAAUUCCAUCACUAUGUAUAUGUACUAGAAAGCCGCUCAUGUAUACAAGGCUCCUAAAGAGGAACAUUUAUGAGAAAAAAACUGGUAAUGGAAUAUCAGGAUAAAUUAUGUACACAGAUAUAGCAGUAAAAGUGAAUAGAGUUAUACAUACCAACAUGGAUUAAAGAGCAAAUAAAAUAGAAAAUAAAAAUUGUGUGACAGCAGAUACAUUAAAAAAUACCAUGUCAUUUAUGGAUGCAUUCAUAUGUAGUAAAACUAUAAAGACAUUUAUAUGAAUGAUAAACACCAAAUCAUAACAGUAGUGUUCACCUCUUAAUAUGCUUUGGCUGUGUUCCCACCCAAAAUCUCGAAUUGUAAUCCCAAUGUGUUGGAGGAGGGACCUCGUGGGAGGUGAUCAGAUCACGGGGGUGGUUUCCCCAGGCUGUUCUCAUGCUAGUGAGUUCUCACAAGAUCUGAUGGUUUUAUAAGGGGCGUUUCCCCCCUUUGCAUUUCUCCCUCCUGCCACCUUGUGAAGAAGGUGACUUGCUUCCCCUUCCCCCAUGUUUGUAGGUUUCCUGAGGCCUCCCCAGCCAUGUGGAACUGAGUCAAUUAAACCUCUUUCCUUUCUAAAUUAACCAGUCGCAGGCAGUUCUUUAUAGCAGUAUAAGAAGAGACUAAUACACUUCUACAGAAGGCAGGGGGAAUGUGUUUGGGAGAAGCCUUUUUGUACUAAUGUCUUAAGUUGAAUCAUUAGGUAUAAAAUGAACUAAAUUUUUUUUCAUGUGUCUUAGCUAUUUCAUUUUGAAAUUGUGGUAAAAUGAAACAAGCAAAUGUUUGGAAGCGAACAUUUAUUUACUUUUUUUCCCCACACAAUUCCUAACAGUUCAAUUAAAAAUGAGAGGUAAAGCACUAGUGCUGAACAAGUUAGGAAAAUUAAGCCUGAAAUAGUCUAAAGAUAAGACAUAGUCUAAACAUAACAGAAUUCUUCUAGGCUUCUAUAGAUGCUCUCACUGUAUACCUGAAAAAUAAAAUGUGUUAUUUUAAACCUUUGCUUAAUGUAAAUGUUCAAUCUAGCUGAAUCAUUUCUUAUGGACAAGAUAAAAAGUUAGCUGGCUACCCAUGUAAGUACGUGGUAUGAGGAUGGUGACUGCUCAGUAGUUCUAUGUGCUUAGCAGAUAUUUAUGUGCUUAAAAUUAUUUACAGUGGCCACUCUCUCCUGCUCUCCCUAUGUACCCUGGUACUGUCAGAGUCAUGACAGCCCAUCCAGGCAUCCUUACAGAUAGGGGACCUCUUUGAUACUAGUGCUGAAUAGGUGAGAAGGGCCUAUGAAGAAAUCUGGUGGAGCGUUGCUGUCAUUCCUUUGAGAAAUCAAGGAAAAUCCACGGGUGCUUUUCUGAUCAAUCUAGCAUUCAUCUCCACUAGUCCCAUGCCUUAUGCUAUGAAGAGAAUGAGAACUUACACUUAGGCACUUAUUCAUCUUUAUCUGCAAGCCCCAUUUCUACCAAC
rnacentral:lncRNA from 10 species